UGCAAGUCGAGCGGAAAGGCCCCUUCGGGGGUACUCGAGCGGCGAACGGGUGAGUAACAGGUGGACAACCUGCCUUUCGGUGGGGGAUAACGGCUGGAAACGGCCGCUAAUACCGCAUACGAUUGUUUGGUCGCAUGGCCGAGCAAGGAAAGGGGCUACUGCCCCGCCGGAAGAUGGGUCCGCCCCCCAUUAGCUAGUUGGUGAGAUAACAGCCCACCAAGGCUUCGAUGGGUAGCCGAGCUGAGAGGUUGAUCGGCCCCACUGGAACUGAGACACGGUCCAGACACCUACGGGUGGCAGCAGUAGGGAAUAUUGGACAAUGGGCGAAAGCCUGAUCCAGCCAUGCCGCGUGGAUGACGAAGGCCUUCGGGUCGUAAAGUCCUUUUCUCAGGGAAGAACAAGCAGGGGAGUGGAAAGCCCCUGUCCUGACGGUACCUGAGGAAUAAGCAACGGCUAACUCCGUGCCAGCAGCCGCGGUAAUACGGAGGUUGCGAGCGCUGUUCGGAAUAACUGGGCGUAAAGGGAGCGCAGGCGGUUUGGUCAGUCUAAAGUGGAAGCCCGGGGCUCAACCUCGGAAGUGCUUUGGAUACUGCCAAACUUGAGUACGUGAGAGGUAGGCGGAAUUCCUGGUGUAGCGGUGAAAUGCGUAGAUAUCAGGAGGAACACCGGUGGCGAAAGCGGCCUACUGGCACGAAACUGA
rnacentral:rRNA from 1 species